UACGAAGGGGGGCUAGCGUUGUUCGGAAUUACUGGGCGUAAAGCGUGCGCAGGCGGCUGCUCAAGUUAGGUGUGAAAGCCCUGGGCUCAACCUAGGAAUUGCACUUGAUACUGUUUGGCUUGAGUUCGGGAGAGGUGAGUGGAAUUCCCAGUGUAGAGGUGAAAUUCGUAGAUAUUGGGAAGAACACCGGUGGCGAAGGCGGCGCACUGGACCAUAACUGACGCUGAUGCGCGAAAGCUAGGGGAG
rnacentral:rRNA from 1 species